rnacentral:rRNA from 1 species
GUGGGGAAUCUUGCGCAAUGGGCGAAAGCCUGACGCAGCCAUGCCGCGUGAAUGAUGAAGGUCUUAGGAUUGUAAAAUUCUUUCACCGGGGACGAUAAUGACGGUACCCGGAGAUGAAGCUCCGGCUAACUUCGUGCCAGCAGCCGCGGUAAUACGAAGGGGGCUAGCGUUGCUCGGAAUUACUGGGCGUAAAGGGCGCGUAGGCGGACAGCUUAGUCAGAGGUGAAAGCCCAGGGCUCAACCUUGGAAUUGCCUUUGAUACUGGCUGUCUUGAGUUUGGGAGAGGUGAGUGGAACUCCGAGUGUAGAGGUGAAAUUCGUAGAUAUUCGGAAGAACACCAGUGGCGAAGGCGACUCACUGGCCCAAUACUGACGCUGAGGCGCGAAAGCGUGGGGAGCAAACAGGAUUAGAUACCCUUGUAGUCC